GGGGAAACCCGGGGGUAGCUCAGAUGGUAGAGUGCUCGCUUGGCAUGCGAGAGGUACGGGGAUUUUCCCCCGCGCCCCCA